UACGUAGGGGGGCAAGCGUUGUCCGGAAUCAUUGGGCGUAAAGCGCGUGUAGGCGGCUUGGUAAGUCCGCUCUGAAAGCCCGGGGCUCAACCCCGGGAGGCGGGUGGAUACUGUCAAGCUCGAGUCCGGAAGAGGCGAGUGGAAUUCCUGGUGUAGCGGUGAAAUGCGCAGAUAUCAGGAGGAACACCGAUGGCGAAGGCAGGUCUCUGGGCCACUACUGACGCUGAGAAGCGAAAGCAUGGGGAGCGAACAGG
rnacentral:rRNA from 1 species